rnacentral:rRNA from 1 species
UAUCAGCUUUAGACGGUAGGGUAUUGGCCUACCGUGGCUAUGACGGGUAACGGGGAAUUAGGGUUCGAUUCCGGAGAGGGAGCCUGAGAAACGGCUACCACAUCUAAGGAAGGCAGCAGGCGCGCAAAUUACCCAAUCCUAAUACAGGGAGGUAGUGACAAGAAAUAACAAUACAGAGCCUUACGGUUUUGUAAUUGGAAUGAGUUAAGUAUAAACCCCUUAACAAGUAUCAAUUGGAGGGCAAGUCUGGUGCCAGCAGCCGCGGUAAUUCCAGCUCCAAUAGCGUAUAUUAAAGUUGUUGCAGUUAAAAAGCUCGUAGUUAAUUUUCUGUUAAUUUUUAUAUACAAUGCUACGGUAUUUAUAUAAUAUUAACAUAAUUCAUAUUACUUUUUAGUAUAUGAAACUUUACUUUGAGAAAAUUAGAGUGCUUAAAGCAGGCUAUUGCCUUGAAUACUCCAGCAUGGAAUAAUAUUAAGGAUUUUUAUUCUUCUUAUUGGUUCUAGAAUAAAAAUAAUGAUUAAUAGGGACAGUUGGGGGCAUUUGUAUUUAACAGUCAGAGGUGAAAUUCUUA